GUCUGAUCUUGGAAGCUAAGCAGGGUCAGGCCCGGUUAGUACUUGGGUGGGAGACCACCUAGGAAGACUGGGUGUUGCAGGUG
rnacentral:rRNA from 1 species